AGUGAACACUGGCGGUAGGCCUAACACAUGCAAGUCGAACGGCAGCACAGGAGAGCUUGCUCUCUGGGUGGCGAGUGGCGGACGGGUGAGGAAUACAUCGGAAUCUACCUUUUCGUGGGGGAUAACGUAGGGAAACUUACGCUAAUACCGCAUACGACCUACGGGUGAAAGUGGGGGACCGCAAGGCCUCACGCGAUUAGAUGAGCCGAUGUCCGAUUAGCUAGUUGGCGGGGUAAUGGCCCACCAAGGCGACGAUCGGUAGCUGGUCUGAGAGGAUGAUCAGCCACACUGGAACUGAGACACGGUCCAGACUCCUACGGGAGGCAGCAGUGGGGAAUAUUGGACAAUGGGCGCAAGCCUGAUCCAGCCAUACCGCGUGGGUGAAGAAGGCCUUCGGGUUGUAAAGCCCUUUUGUUGGGAAAGAAAUCCUAUCGGUUAAUAACCGGUGGGGAUGACGGUACCCAAAGAAUAAGCACCGGCUAACUUCGUGCCAGCCGCCGCAGUAAGAC
rnacentral:rRNA from 1 species